UACGAAGGGGGCUAGCGUUGUUCGGAAUUACUGGGCGUAAAGCGCACGUAGGCGGACAUUUAAGUCAGGGGUGAAAUCCCAGAGCUCAACUCUGGAACUGCCUUUGAUACUGGGUGUCUUGAGUAUGGAAGAGGUGAGUGGAAUUCCGAGUGUAGAGGUGAAAUUCGUAGAUAUUCGGAGGAACACCAGUGGCGAAGGCGGCUCACUGGUCCAUUACUGGCGCUGAGGUGCGAAAGCGUGGGGAGCAAACCGG
rnacentral:rRNA from 1 species